CUCCACACUUAGAGGCAGUGUCAUAGCCAAUGAGGUUCUACCGAGGCGUGACUAUUGCUAGUUGAAACACUUUGAGAAGAUAAGAUGGCUGAUUCAGCAGUUAUAAUGUUUCUUACUUUACAGAUUUUUUUUUCUUUUUUACCAAGA